UUGGCUCCUCUCCUUUCCUCCUCCCCCUCGUAGCCGCUUCUCCCCCCGCCCCGUCUCUCCCCCACUGGUGUACGCUAUUUGUUGGAGGUGGGGGGGGUGGUGGCCGAAGGGGAUGUCCUCUUUUCACCAGAGGCACAGCUUGAAGGCGAAACUUCAACACUGGAAGGAAAGAGAAUAAAUACAUAAAUACGGACGCACAGAUCUGUUGCUGGGGGAGUCACUUGGACUUUGGGAUCCUGAGACGGUCCUGGCGGCAGGAGAUUGUCCAUUUUUAAUUGGAGGAAGCUGCUUCUACUUGGGGGGUGGCAGGAGAAGUAAGAAAACCACAUGGAAGACUCCCAGGAUUUAAAUGAGCAAUCCGUAAAGAAAACGUGCACAGAAUCAGAUGUUCCCGAACCCCAGAAUUCCAGGUCUAUGGAAAUGCAGGACCUAGCAAGUCCUCAUCCUCUUGUUGGAGGUGGUGAUACUCCUGGAAGCUCCAAAUUGGAGAAAACUAAUCUCAGCAGCACUUCGGUCACCACAAAUGGGACAGGAGGGGACAACAUGACUGUUUUAAACACUGCAGACUGGUUGCUGAGUUGCAACACCCCCUCCUCUGCAACAAUGUCUCUCCUUGCAGUCAAAACAGAGCCUUUGAACAGCAGUGAAACCACAGCCACGACUGGAGAUGGAGCGCUUGACACUUUUACUGGGUCAGUAAUAACAAGUAGUGGCUACAGCCCCAGAUCCGCGCAUCAAUAUUCCCCACAGCUGUAUCCUUCCAAGCCCUAUCCACACAUUCUUUCUACACCAGCAGCUCAAACAAUGUCCGCCUAUGCAGGCCAGACUCAGUAUUCGGGAAUGCAGCAGCCAGCCGUCUACACUGCCUACUCACAGACAGGACAGCCCUACAGCCUACCCACUUACGAUCUGGGCGUGAUGUUACCAGGCAUCAAGACAGAGAGUGGACUCUCACAAACUCAGUCCCCAUUGCAGAGUGGGUGCCUCAGUUACAGCCCAGGCUUCUCUACCCCACAGCCAGGCCAGACACCUUAUUCUUACCAGAUGCCAGGUUCUAGUUUUGCACCAUCUUCUACUAUUUAUGCAAAUAAUUCAGUUUCAAAUUCAACAAAUUUCAGUGGUUCACAACAGGAUUAUCCAUCCUACACAGCCUUUGGCCAAAACCAGUAUGCACAGUAUUACUCUGCAUCGACGUAUGGCGCAUACAUGACAUCAAAUAACACAGCUGAUGGCUCAUCCUCCACGACCUCAACCUACCAGUUGCAGGAAUCUCUCCCAGGACUGACUAGCCAACCAGGUACAGAUCUUCAUCCAGGAGAGUUUGAAACUGUGCAAAGCCCCUCCACACCCAUCAAAGAUCUUGAUGAGAGAACCUGCAGGAGUUCUGGGUCAAAGUCCAGAGGAAGAGGCCGGAAAAAUAAUCCGUCCCCGCCUCCUGACAGUGACCUGGAGCGUGUGUUUGUCUGGGACUUGGAUGAAACCAUCAUUGUUUUCCACUCACUGCUCACAGGAUCUUAUGCCCAGAAGUAUGGCAAGGAUCCCCCCAUGGCUGUAACCCUUGGACUUCGAAUGGAGGAAAUGAUUUUUAAUCUUGCUGAUACACAUUUGUUUUUUAAUGAUUUAGAGGAGUGUGAUCAAGUUCACAUAGAUGAUGUUUCCUCUGAUGACAAUGGGCAGGACUUAAGUACCUACAGUUUUGCAACUGAUGGCUUCCAUGCAGCUGCAAGUAGUGCAAACCUUUGUUUGCCAACAGGUGUAAGAGGAGGGGUUGACUGGAUGAGGAAGUUGGCUUUUCGUUACAGAAGAGUGAAAGAAUUAUACAACACCUACAAGAACAACGUGGGAGGACUUCUUGGCCCGGCCAAGAGAGAUGCAUGGCUGCAGCUGAGGGCUGAGAUCGAAGGUCUGACAGACUCCUGGCUAACAAAUGCACUUAAAUCUUUAUCAAUUAUUAGUACGAGGAGUAACUGCGUAAAUGUCUUGGUAACAACAACCCAGCUGAUCCCAGCGCUCGCGAAGGUUCUACUCUAUAGUUUAGGAGGUGCUUUUCCCAUUGAGAAUAUUUACAGUGCAACUAAAAUAGGCAAGGAAAGCUGUUUUGAGCGUAUAGUGUCCAGAUUUGGCACUAACAUAACUUAUGUUGUGAUUGGAGAUGGCCGAGAUGAGGAGCAUGCCGCUAACCAGGUAACUUCACUCUGAACUUUAUCUUGUUUAUCUUCCAGGAAAAGAAAGUUGCUUUGAACGAAUAAUGCAAAGGUUUGGCAGAAAAGUAGUAUAUGUUGUAAUUGGGGAUGGUGUAGAAGAAGAACAGGCAGCAAAAAAGCACAAUAUGCCCUUUUGGAGGAUAUCAAGUCACUCAGACCUCUUGGCUCUACAUCAAGCACUGGAAUUAGAGUAUUUGUAACUGUGUUCUCUAGCUGGAGAUCCGUUUUUUUUUUUUUUUUUUUUUUUUAAUUUCAAGUACACUGAAUUUUUAUGUGUGAUUCAAUGCCUCUGGCUUUACACAUAUAAAUUGUCUUAAAGGAUGAAAUCAUAUUUGGAAUGAGAAUUCCAGAAUGAAGAAUUCAGAUUGCUGAAUGGAAUUAAACUUUAGUGCUACAGAAAGGAAGCUCUAUGGUCUUAUAUUUACAACACUUUAAUGGUUUAAAAAAAAAAAAAUUCUGUGGAGGUUGCUGGUACCCACCGAAGGAGUCCUAACUGGAAUUAACUUUAGCAAAGAACUCACCCUGGCAAAGCACCAACACAGGCUCCGUCUGACAAGGUUCAACAACAUUCCUCAAAAUGGGAGAUCUUCUUAGCCCUGAGGUUUGAAUCUGACUUUAACCUACCUAGCCCAGAAAAUCUGAAUUGGAAUGCACUCAGACUGUGUAAGGACAAUCCUAUUUAGACCUGUAAUUUGUGUAAAUUAUUGAUGAAAAUAAUUUACUGUGACUUUUAUUAGCAGCUGACUUUGAAAGUGGAUGCAAUUUUUCCUUCAUUUGUUGGGGAGGGCUUUGGGAGGGGAAAGGGGAAUCUAAUCAUGUCUGUUUUUUUAAGUUUGGCAAACAGAAUGUUCAUACUGAUGUGUUGUGCCUUAAAGACAAGACAGCGUUUGUGUGUUACAAUGUAACUUUGGUUAAAAUCUCUGUAGAUAAUGAAAAACAAAAACCUUUGUGAUCGUUUUUCAGAUGACCAAAUUUAAAUUUCAAGCUAUCAGAGCUGAAUAAUGCCUCAGCAAGAAACUGAGCAUUUGUUGCAAUAAGAAAAUCAUAAUAAUAAUAAAGGAAAGCUUGUGUUUUAUUUGGGCUCUUAAUAAUUCCAAUAAUUGUAUGAGGCAACUAUUUAUGCAUCCAACCAGAAGCAGAAGGUUUGGGAAAGACUGUGGGACCUUUACUUAGAAAGUGAAAUGUAUGUUGAAGCCUCGAGUACCCUUUCUACAGUUUUACUGAAGAAAACUAAAAGCCAUAUUCAUGAUGACCUGUACAAUUUGGAGUUUGACGUUUUGAUACGUAUAAGUUGUGUAGAAGAAGAUAUUCAGAUGAAAAUCAUAGGCAAAUAUCACCCAAACUUUCUUAGACUAUGCAUGAACAUGGCUUAAAAUUCACAUUGGGUGAACAGGGCUUAAAAUAAAGCUAAGUGCAUUUAUUCCCAAUGCCAUUGCAAAAAUGAAAUAUCAUCAGUAGUGGAAGGCAAAUUCCCCAGACAGUUUCUAAGGAGAUAAGAGAAUCAAUAAAAAUUUUUCCUAGCCUAUCAUCAUAAAAUAAAUUUACAAAUGAGCCGAAUCUUGGCAGCAUAACUAAAAUUAAACAGUGGAACGGUAUCUGGUUCUCUGUCUUAACACAUCCAUCCAGUUUCUGUCCAUUACAGACCUGUAUAUCUGAGUUUCUGCCUGUACCGUUACUGCACAAUGGAUUUCAUUCAUUGCAAGGAGAGCCUGUCAUCGUCAUGUUUGCAUGUUUUUUUUUCUUCUUCUUGGUGUGUAACCCAUGUUAGGAACGCGAUACAGGUUCUCCUGUCAUUUUGUAUGACCUGAUUUCCCUUGUGGAAAUUUAAGACUUCAACAGAGUGUUUUAAUGGUGUCUACACCUGCAGUUCUGUGUUUAAAAUGUCACAAUGUGGAACCUGCCAUCUAGCUACUAACCUGAGCUCCUAACCAGAAGCUGGUCCUUGAGCUUCAUCAUCUGAGGCUUCCAUGGCUCCCAAAAGAUUGGUGCUUUGUACAUUGAUCACAACAUUCACUAUGGAAGUGUGAUUUUGUUUUUCAAGCUAUAAACCUGUAUUUCUUUAUUGUACGCUAAGGUCUUGUUUGUAUCAGGCAAAAAGAGACUGAAAUCAUGUUCUGCAGAUAUUAAUUAACAUUGUGGUUUCAUCACAUAUACCCCUUAAUCUUUAAAUUCUGUAACUUAUGGCUACUUCUGCAACCAAGUACUGUUGCAGACAGAUUAAGGACAAAUACAUAGUAAUAAUAAAUCUUACAUUUCUAUUGACCUUUAGCUUGAAAAUGGUAGUUUAAAAAAUUAAGAGCUGCAUUGAUUAUCAACACAUAAUUCUAUUUUGUGCACUAAAACCUUAAAUGUUUAUUACUGUGAACAAAUCAAAAUUAUCUUUAAUAUAUAGCCAGGUUCUUUAAUAGAAUUUUAGCAUUAUAUCAAAAGUUUUCACUCUUUUUCAUAUUGAACAAGCAAGACUUCUUACAUUGCUAACCCUGCAGGUACAGAAAGGAACAUUGCUCUACAGGGCAAAGAGAAGGGUCGCUGACUGCAUCAGCAGUGCUGUUUCUUACAAACCUCUUCUCUGAAAAUGAUAUGUCCAGAAGAGACUGCCAGCCUAAAACCUAAAUGCUGGGUUGUUGUACAACUACUCGGCUGACCCCGCCAUGGUGCAGGCCAGUGAGCCUACAUCGCAGUUUGUUCUGUAAUUUUGAGCAUGCUCAAACUAGAAUGUUUCUCUCCCCCACUUAGGAACUCAGGAGCCUCUUCCUUUCUUACCUGAAAAGCAUAAAAUCAACCAACCAACAAACAAAAAACACCACCUAUGGCAGUUUCCACAUUCUGUUGACAUUUAGAAGAUUGUGCCUUAUUAUAAACCAAUUUGAAAAAUGUUCUGUCUCAGACAUGGGUUUUUGGUUCCUACAUGUACAAACUUGGGCUAUCACCAAGAUAGGUAACCACCUCGUGUUGCACCUGAAAAGUAGUAAAACAGGUGGCCUGACUGUAGUAAUGUCAUAGACGAGAUUAAGUUACUAUGCCCUGCAAAGAUUUGUAAAUCAAAUUCAGAGGCAAAAAGAAUAUUUUAGUAUCAUGCAGUUUGCACACAAACAGUAGAUAUAACACUCUAAAAAUGUUUUUUUCUUUAGUCUCUGGUGAACUGAUUCAAAAUAGUGUCAACAGCAUGCUGCAGUAUGAAGGUUUUGGGUUUUUUUUUUAAUGCACAUUUGUUUAUGACAAGCCUACAUUCUCAGUGAAUAUGGCAUUUAGUAUUUCUUUUAAAAACAAAUAAGCGUCUUGAGCCAAAGUUGCAUUUUGACUCCCAACUAUGAUAGCAUAUGGAAAUCUAACAAAGAAGAGGGUUUCUGUUAUGUAUUAGUAAAAUAUAGAUUAUUGGGGCCUACAUAAUUUAAAGAAAUGUAAAUUAAUAUUAAAAGCUUGUAAAAAUAUGUACAUCUUUACUUUUUCUCAAUA